AACGAACGCUGGCGGCAUGCCUAACACAUGCAAGUCGAACGAGACCUUCGGGUCUAGUGGCGCACGGGUGCGUAACGCGUGGGAACCUGCCUUUAGGUUCGGAAUAACUCAGAGAAAUUUGAGCUAAUACCGGAUGAUGUCUUCGGACCAAAGAUUUAUCGCCUUUAGAUGGGCCCGCGUUGGAUUAGCUAGUUGGUGGGGUAAAGGCCUACCAAGGCGACGAUCCAUAGCUGGUCUGAGAGGAUGAUCAGCCACACUGGGACUGAGACACGGCCCAGACUCCUACGGGAGGCAGCAGGGGGGAAUAUUGGACAAUGGGCGAAAGCCUGAUCCAGCAAUGCCGCGUGAGUGAUGAAGGCCUUAGGGUUGUAAAGCUCUUUUACCCGAGAUGAUAAUGACAGUAUCGGGAGAAUAAGCUCCGGCUAACUCCGUG
rnacentral:rRNA from 1 species